rnacentral:rRNA from 1 species
UACGGGAGGCAGCAGUGGGGAAUCUUGCGCAAUGGGCGAAAGCCUGACGCAGCCAUGCCGCGUGAAUGAUGAAGGUCUUAGGAUUGUAAAAUUCUUUCACCGGGGACGAUAAUGACGGUACCCGGAGAAGAAGCCCCGGCUAACUUCGUGCCAGCAGCCGCGGUAAUACGAAGGGGCUAGCGUUGCUCGGAAUUACUGGGCGUAAAGGGAGCGUAGGCGGACAUUUAAGUCAGGGGUGAAAUCCCGGGGCUCAACCUCGGAAUUGCCUUUUGAUACUGGGUGUCUUGAGUAUGAGAGAGGUGUGUGGAACUCCGAGUGUAGAGGUGAAAUUCGUAGAUAUUCGGAAGAACACCAGUGGCGAAGGCGACACACUGGCUCAUUACCUGACGCUGAGGGCUCGAAAGCGUGGGGAGCAAACAGGGAUUUAGAUACC